rnacentral:rRNA from 1 species
AACGCGAAGAACCUUACCAAAUCUUGACAUCCUUUGAAAACUCUAGAGAUAGAGUCUUCCCCUUCGGGGGACAAAGUGACAGGUGGUGCAUGGUUGUCGUCAGCUCGUGUCGUGAGAUGUUGGGUUAAGUCCCGCAACGAGCGCAACCCUUAAGCUUAGUUGCCAUCAUUAAGUUGGGCACUCUAGGUUGACUGCCGGUGACAAACCGGAGGAAGGUGGGGAUGACGUCAAAUCAUCAUGCCCCUUAUGAUUUGGGCUACACACGUGCUACAAUGGACAAUACAAAGGGCAGCUAAACCGCGAGGUCAUGCAAAUCCCAUAAAGUUGUUCUCAGUUCGGAUUGUAGUCUGCAACUCGACUACAUGAAGCUGGAAUCGCUAGUAAUCGUAGAUCAGCAUGCUACGGUGAAUACGUUCCCGGGUCUUGUACACACCG